GUCUGGUGUUGUAGUAGGUGCUUGAUGGUGAUAUGUGCUGUAUGGGAUAGGCCUCUCCCUAAGCAUAGUGAAAGGGUGCUGUUGUGCUCAGGCAGACUGUUCUUGCUAAUGAAGUAAACAAGAUUAGAAGGCGAAGGAAUGAGGAGACAAUAGGAGCCAAAUAAGGAAUUGUGAAUGGCACUCAUCAUGAAAGGCAGUCUAUACAGAGAAAUCUGGAUAAGAAAAAUACUUUGCUCCCUUCCCUGACUUGGGACUACUCAUUGCUGCAGCUGUUCACCAUCCCACAGUUUUUCCCCAAAGCAAUUUGUGGAACUACUGCAAACCAGAUCAUGGAAAUGGAACAGGUUACAGGUCUACAAAAUGUCUUAGAAUAGUUGCAACUGUUAACCUGCUGUAAAACAAAACAAGAAAAUGGGGAAAAAAUCAUGAAGAAUUCAAGAAGCCAAAUGAAAAUUCUUGCUAUUAACUCUGGUAUUCACAUCAAACAUCUCUUUAUUGUCCCUCUUAUUUUGAUUAUUCCUUAGAAAUAUUUAAUCAGAAAAAGAUAUGUCACAAAAGAAAUAUUAUGGAGUCACAAAAUUUGCCUAUGAGUGGUAAGGGGAACAAAGUACUUGAUUUGGGGUCUCAAGCAUCCCAGUUUGAUGGCAGAU
ensembl:lncRNA